rnacentral:rRNA from 1 species
CCUACGAGCGGCAGCAGUGAGGAAUAUUGGUCAAUGGGCGGAAGUCUGAACCAGCCAAGCAGCGUGCGGGAUGAAGGCUCUAUGGGUCGUAAACCGCUUUUGUACAGGGAUAACACUCUCUACUUGUAUACGUCUGCAGGUACCGUGCGAAUAAUGACCGGCUAAUUCCGUGCCAGCAGCCUCGGUAAUACGGAAGGUCCGAGCGUUAUCCGAGUUUAUUGGGCUUAAAGGUAGCGUAGGCGGGCGUUCAAGUUAGGUGGAAAAUCGCGCGGCUUAACCGCGCACCGCAGUUUAUACUGGACGCCUUGAGUGCACAACAGGCAGGCGGAAUUCGUGGUGUAGCGGUGAAAUGCUUAGAGAUCACGAGGAACCCCGAUUGCGAAGGCAGCCUGCCGAUGUGCGACUGACGCUGAGGCUCGAAGGUGCGGGUAGCAAACAGGAUUAGAUACCCCAGUAGUC